rnacentral:tRNA from 1 species
AGUGGGAAAUGAGGUGGCUUUCUGGACACACGGCUUCAUAAGCCGUGUGUCGGUGGUUCGAGUCCACUCAUCGCUAC